AGCGAGUAAAGUGGCAGACGGGUGAGUAAUGUAUGGGAAUCUGCCCAGUAGUAUGGAAUAAGCCUUGGAAACGAGGUCUAAUACCGUAUAUUACCGAUUUAUCGGGAAAGGUUCAGUCCUUCGGGAUUGCAUCGCUAUUGGAGGAGCCCAUAUCGGAUUAGUUAGUUGGUAGGGUAAUGGCCUACCAAGACGAGGAUCCGUAGCUGGUCUGAGAGGAUGAUCAGCCACACUGGAACUUAGACACGGUCCAGACUCC
rnacentral:rRNA from 1 species